UAAGUUUCAUUUAUAAAGUUCAAGGUAGUAUUGAUUGUAUUUUGUCAAACUUAUUAGAGAGAGAAAAAGUAAAAUGAAUAUAAUAAAUAGCUAAGGGUAUUUUAGGUAAAAGAAGAAUUAUUGUUGAAAAAAGAACAAUAAUAAUUACUAGGGAUGGCAAUUUGACACAUCCCCAAUGGGCACCCGCAAAUUUACCCACAACGGAUAGGGUAAAAACCCGC
rnacentral:lncRNA from 1 species